UGGGGAAUUUUGGACAAUGGGGGCAACCCUGAUCCAGCGAUGCCGCGUGAAGGAUGAAGUAUUUCGGUAUGUAAACUUCGAAAGAAUAGGAAGAAUAAAUGACGGUACUAUUUAUAAGGUCCGGCUAACUACGUGCCAGCAGCCGCGGUAAUACGUAGGGACCAAGCGUUGUUCGGAUUUACUGGGCGUAAAGGGCGCGUAGGCGGCAAUUCAAGUCAUCUGUGAAAUCUCCGGGCUUAACUCGGAACGGUCAGAUGAUACUGCUUUGCUAGAGUGCAGAAGGGGCAAUCGGAAUUCUUGGUGUAGCGGUGAAAUGCGUAGAUAUCAAGAGGAACACCUGAGGUGAAGACGGGUUGCUGGGCUGACACUGACGCUGAGGCGCGAAAGCCAGGGGAGCAAACGGGAUUAGAUACCCACGUAGUCCCUGAGCGGGCUGGCAAGGCGCAU
rnacentral:rRNA from 1 species